rnacentral:rRNA from 1 species
CGGAGUGGCGGACGGGUGAGUAAUGCAUCGGGACCUACCCAGACGUGGGGGAUAACGUAGGGAAACUUACGCUAAUACCGCAUACGUCCUACGGGAGAAAGCGGGGGACCUUCGGGCCUCGCGCGUUUGGACGGACCGAUGUUCGAUUAGCUAGUUGGUAAGGUAAUGGCUUACCAAGGCGACGAUCGAUAGCUGGUCUGAGAGGAUGAUCAGCCACACUGGAACUGAGACACGGCCCAG